rnacentral:rRNA from 1 species
AGUGAACGCUGGCGGUAGGCCUAACACAUGCAAGUCGAACGGCAGCACAGUAAGAGCUUGCUCUUACGGGUGGCGAGUGGCGGACGGGUGAGGAAUGCAUCGGAAUCUACUUUUUCGUGGGGGAUAACGUAGGGAAACUUACGCUAAUACCGCAUACGACCUACGGGUGAAAGCAGGGGAUCUUCGGACCUUGCGCGAUUGAAUGAGCCGAUGUCGGAUUAGCUAGUUGGCGGGGUAAAGGCCCACCAAGGCGACGAUCCGUAGCUGGUCUGAGAGGAUGAUCAGCCGCACUGGAGCUGGGACACGGUCCAGAGUCCUACGGGAGGCAGCAGUGGGGAAUAUUGGACAAUGGGCGCAAGCCUGAUCCAGCCAUACCGCGUGGGUGAAGAAGGCCUUCGGGUUGUAAAGCCCUUUUGUUGGGAAAGAAAAGCAGCAGGUUAAUACCCCGCUGUUCUGACGGUACCCAAAGAAUAAGCACCGGCUAACUUCGUG